rnacentral:lncRNA from 1 species
GUGCAAAAGGUCUCCUGGAGACUCAGCCGACUACGACGGAGAAACGGCACUGAGGGUGUGAAACCAGCCAGGAGUGCCAGCCAAGAGGCUAAGCACAGAGGAAUAAUCUGGCACAGGACCGGGUGGGGCUGGAAGGACAAGCCAGGGUGUCCAGGGACGGCGCAGUCCCAGAAAACGCCAGCUGUGCUUGUCCGAGCAAAGCCCCCGCUGUCCCCAGCUGACAGCUGGACUGAGCUCCAGGGUCCAGCUCCAGCGCUUGGCCCGCGGCUGUGGGGCGGACCAUCUGCCUGCAGGUGGUGGGAAGCGUGUCCUGUGCCCUCAUCGCCUGUUUCCGGAUGUGAAGUGUCCUCUCCCUGCCCGAACCGCACGGUCUGUGGCUGUCUGUCUCCACAGCCCCUGGAGAUUGACGCCCACCACGGGGCUCUGUGUGUGGUGCAGCUGCUCGCAGCUCGCAGCUCACGGAACCUCCCUUCAGCAGCACGGUGACGUGGGGAAGCCGGUGGGAAGGGCUUCGCUGGACCGUUGCUCUGCUCAGACCGCUCCCUGGCUGCAUACUCCAGGGUCACUUCCAGGAACACGGGGAAAACCUCUCAUUCCUGACUUGACCGAGCGCCUGCACACCAGUGAGUCCGCAGCGCCUCCCGGACGACGGGAGAGUGUCACUGCUAUCACGCACAUUUGUCCUUCUCUGUUUGGCCACCCAACACGUGAAACCCUCCUCAGCGUCUGGGAAAUCCCCGGACUUGUGAGACCAUCUCUAAAGGCAGCCACAGGGGUGGGGGUGUCCCACGCUCCCUUCCCAGCCCCCGUGCUGACAGGACGCACAACGCCAGCCAAGAUGCAUGCCCCCCUACUCGAAAGCCAGCGACUGCCAAGAGUGGGGACAGCUCGGACCCUUGGGGAUGGACAGCAACACCCACUCCCUGUGGGCAGAGGGGGCGGCGGUGCUGUUGGUGGCCCCUGCUGCGGUUGGUGGUCCAGGCAGUGGGUGUGGGUCAGCUGCAUGGGUGGUGGAGACCUCCUGGGGUCCAUCCAAAGGUGCCCUGUCCCCUUGCAUCAUUCCCUCCAGGAAGCCCCGUGCCACCUGCGUUC